rnacentral:rRNA from 1 species
UAGGGAAUAUUGCACAAUGGAGGAAACUCUGAUGCAGCGACGCCGCGUGAGUGACGAAGGCCUUCGGGUCGUAAAGCUCUGUUCUCGUGGAAAAAGAAAGUGAUUGUACACGAGAAGAAAGGACCGGCUAACUUCGUGCCAGCAGCCGCGGUAAGACGAGGGGUCCAAGCGUUGUUCGGAAUCAUUGGGCGUAAAGCGGGUGUAGGUGGCUCUAUAAGUCAGGAGUGAAAGCCCUGGGCUUAACUCAGGAAGUGCUUUUGAUACUGUAGAGCUUGAAUGUGGGAGAGGAUGAUAGAAUUCCAGGUGUAGUGGUGAAAUACGUAGAUAUCUGGAGGAAUACCGGUGGCGAAGGCGGUCAUCUGGCCCAACAUUGACACUGAGACCCGAAAGCGUGGGGAUCAAACA